rnacentral:lncRNA from 1 species
CAGAAAAAUGAGAAGACAACUCACUGGAGGCUGAAGUGGGAGGAUCGCUUGAGUCUGGAAGCUUGAGACUGCAGCAAGCUGUGAUCGUGACACUGCACUCCAGCCUGGGCAACAAAGUAAGAUCCUGUCUCAAAAGAAAAAAAAAAAAAGGAACUUCAUGCCCACUUGAAUGGAUCCAUUAGUUCUCAUACCAUGAAGAAAUUAAUAGCCCAGAAGCCAGAUCUUAAAAUCCACGAUCAGAUGACUGUGAUUGACAAGGGAAAGAAAAGAACUUUGGAAGAGUCACAAAAGAUGUCAUAAAAGAAUUUGCAGAUGACGGCGUCAAGUACCUGGAACUAAGGAGCACACCCAGAAGAGAAAAUGCUACUGGAAUGACUAAAAAGACUUAUGUGGAAUCUAUACUUGAAGGUAUAAAACAGUCCAAACAAGAAAACUUGGACAUUGAUGUUAGGUAUUUGAUAGCAGUUGACAGAAG